GAUGAACGCUGGCGGCGUGCUUAACACAUGCAAGUCGAACGAGAAGUGGAGACUAGAACUAUCGGGCGGAAGGCUUGACUAAGAGUGGCGGAAGGGGUACUAACGCUAGGGAAAACUGCCGCAUACAGCGGGAUAACACGUAGAAACGACUCGUAAUACCGCAUAAGACCAUAGCUCCGCAUGUUGCGGGGGUGAAGCCUCCGAUGGUCUGAGAUGUACCCGGGUUCUAUUAGCCAGUUGGCGUGGGAACGGCCCACCAACGGGACGAUCGAUAGCCGACCUGAGAGGAUGACCGGGCACCCUGGGCCUGCGAGACGGCCCAGAAUGCUACGGGAGGCAGCGGUGGGAAAUAUUACACAGUGGGGGAAACUCUGAUGCAGCGGCGCCGUGUAAUGGAAGAAUUUUUUCGGUAUGUAAAGCUCUAUAAGCUGGUAAGAAAAUGACGGUACCUGAGUAAGAAGCCCCGGCUAACUACGUG
rnacentral:rRNA from 1 species